rnacentral:tRNA from 1 species
GAAGUGUUAGUAAACCCAUUACAUGGCCUUGUCAAGACCAAAUCACAGGUGAAACCCCUGUACACCUCA